rnacentral:rRNA from 1 species
GAUGAACGCUGGCGGCGUGCCUAAUACAUGCAAGUCGAGCGAACGGACGAGAAGCUUGCUUCUCUGAUGUUAGCGGCGGACGGGUGAGUAACACGUGGAUAACCUACCUAUAAGACUGGGAUAACUUCGGGAAACCGGAGCUAAUACCGGAUAAUAUUUUGAACCGCAUGGUUCAAAAGUGAAAGACGGUCUUGCUGUCACUUAUAGAUGGAUCCGCGCUGCAUUAGCUAGUUGGUAAGGUAACGGCUUACCAAGGCAACGAUGCAUAGCCGACCUGAGAGGGUGAUCGGCCACACUGGAACUGAGACACGGUCCAGACUCCUACGGGAGGCAGCAGUAGGGAAUCUUCCGCAAUGGGCGAAAGCCUGACGGAGCAACGCCGCGUGAGUGAUGAAGGUAUUCGGAUCGUAAAACUCUGUUAUUAGGGAAGAACAUAUGUGUAAGUAACUGUGCACAUCUUGACGGUACCUAAUCAGAAAGCCACGGCUAACUACGU